AUUGAACGCUGGCGGCAGGCCUAACACAUGCAAGUCGAACGAGUGGCGGACGGGUGAGUAAUGUCUGGGAAACUGCCCGAUGGAGGGGGAUAACUACUGGAAACGGUAGCUAAUACCGCAUACCAUCGGAUGUGCCCAGAUGGGAUUAGCUAGUAGGUGGGGUAACGGCUCACCUAGGCGACGAUCCCUAGCUGGUCGUAGAGGAUGACCCGCCACACUGGGACUGAGACCCGGUCCAGACUCCUACGAGAGGCAGCAGUGGGGAAUAUUGCACAAUGGGCGCAAGCCUGAGGCAGCCAUGCCGCGUGUAGGAAGAAGGCCUUCGGGUUGUAAAGUACUUUCAGCGAGGAGGCGUUACUCACAGAAGAAGCACCGGCUAACUCCGUGCCAGCAGCCGCGGUAAUUC
rnacentral:rRNA from 1 species